AACGAACGCUGGCGGCAGGCCUAACACAUGCAAGUCGAACGCACCGCAAGGUGAGUGGCGCACGGGUGAGUAACACGUGGGAAUGUACCCUUUGGUUCGGAAUAACGUUUGGAAACGAACGCUAAUACCGGAUGAGCCCUGCGGGGGAAAGAUUUAUCGCCAAAGGAGCAGCCCGCGUCUGAUUAGCUAGUUGGUGGGGUAAAGGCCUACCAAGGCGACGAUCAGUAGCUGGUCUGAGAGGAUGAUCAGCCACACUGGGACUGAGACACGGCCCAGACUCCUACGGGAGGCAGCAGUGGGGAAUAUUGGACAAUGGGCGCAAGCCUGAUCAGCCAUGCCG
rnacentral:rRNA from 1 species